UGCGUAGGCGUCUAAGAAAGUUAUUUGUUAAAUCCUCCGGCUUAACCGGAGUAAUGCAGGUAAACUACUUGGAUAGAGUUUAAGAGAGGAAAAUGGAAUUCCUGGUGUAGCGGUGACAUGCGUAGAUAUCAGGAGGAACAUCUAUGGCGAAGGCAGUUUUCUGGCUUAAAACUGACGCUGAGGCACGAAAGCGUGGGGAGCAAACA
rnacentral:rRNA from 1 species